UACGUAGGGGGCAAGCGUUAUCCGGAUUUACUGGGUGUAAAGGGAGCGUAGACGGUGAAGCAAGUCUGAAGUGAAAGGCGGGGGCUCAACCCCCGGACUGCUUUGGAAACUGUUAUUCUAGAGUAUGGGAGAGGUAGGUGGAAUUCUUGGUGUAGGGGUAAAAUCCGUAGAGAUCAAGAGGAAUACUCAUUGCGAAGGCGACCUGCUAGAACAUAACUGACGCUGAUGCGCGAAAGCGUGGGGAGCAAACAGG
rnacentral:rRNA from 1 species